UCUCUUCACCGCCAGUACUCUCCUCUGCUCCUUCAUUAUCGCUCCACUUCUCAAGUUCUUCUCAUCAAUUUUCUUUGCUCACCAUCGAUUGCGUCUCUUCGCUGCUAUUGCCUCACUCUUCGUUCUUCUUUCUGCCUAAGUUCAUAUGUUACAGUAAGGUUGGGUUGCUGGAUGCCUUUUCCCCUGCCAUCGUUUUUAGCUUCAUGUUAACUUGAGUGGCCGACUGUGGUGGUGCGUACGUUCGAUUCCUAUAUGCUCUUCCUCCUAAACUGUUGGCAUCGUGUGUUUGCUUGAUCUUUCUCUUCACUCUUCCUUCCUAUUCAGCUAGUGGGUGCUGUGUGAGUGGGUAUGCUAAAUUCAACUUCUUCUUCUUUGUUUUUUUUUUUUUUUGUUUUGGUCGAAAAUUCUGCCUCUGCUUUUCUUGUUGCUGCCGUGUCUUGCUUCAGAAUUAAGGAGCUGAAUUCGUUAAUGCUGUGGAAUUUUAUUGUGAUGCUAAGCUUAAUGUUGAUAAAAUUUAUGUGAAAAGUUAAUUAAAUGGCUAGAUGAUUAUUGUUAGAUAAAGUUGGAUACUCUCAAGAUGUUUGUGAAAAUGUUUGAAUGAAGAAUUUAGGAACUAUUUUAGAUAAUAUUAGAUGUUAUUUUAUUAAUGUUGAGCUAAAUAUUGAUGAGAAAAUUAAGCGUUGGAAAUGGUUGAAUUUGCUUGGAUUUUUGCCUCAUGAUUUUGUUAAUGGUAAAAGUUCUCUUGGUGCUUGUAAAUGUGCUUGAAAAUUUUGUUGGUCGAAAUGAAAUUGUUAAAUUGUUAUAAUAGAGCUUGGAUGAAUUAUGAAUAUUAUUUAAAGGAGUAUAUGUAAGGUUUGAAAUUUUAAGAAUAUCAAAAUAUGAGAAAGGAAUGCCUAGAAUGCCUUUAUGGUAUGUUAUUAAAUCCAAAGGAAGCAAAAGAAUAGUUGAUAUGAGAUGUUAUGACUUAUGGUUGAGAGUAGAUUAUAAAGAGCUAUGAGAAUGAAUUGCAAAUCAUCAAAGGUUUAACUAACCUAAGUAUACUUGGAAUAUAAUUAGUUAAAAUAUUAUCUUUAAUAUUGUUGGAUUACCAUUAAGUGCUUAAAAAAUUAUUUGAUAAAUGAUUUUAAAAUUUUGAUUUACUUGUCAGGACAUUAAUAAUGCCAUUAGAAUAAAAGUGUAAAGUAAGAGAAGCAAAUUUUAAAACUUUUUCAAACUUUCAGGUGAGUGGGUAGCGUUCCUAAUGAAUUUCUUGUAAUUGUUUACAAAAUUCCUUUACUUAAAUUUUAAUACUAUUUCUUUAUUUGUUAUAUAAGCAUUCUUGUCAAUUCUACUUUUAUAAUAAUUAUUUUAUUAAUCAUGAGAUCUUGAUUUUACUAUUAAUUUAUGCUAAUGACAAAUAACAAUUAAAGUUGAUAUACGAUAAACGGUGUUAUUUUUUAAAAAUAGCUCAAUUGUUUAAUUUUAUGUUUGAUAUGCAAACCUUUAGUACAACAACUCGUGCAUAGAGGAAAUGAUAAUGAAUAUGAGAAUGGAAAAUGACAUCGAAUUGUAUAUUUCGAAAGUGAAAAUUUUGAGUUUGUUUUUUUUACUCCAUGCACGCUUGAUUUUAAUUAGGAAAAUUGAGUUCAGAAUGCUGGAUGUUAACAGCAGUUCUGUUAGCCCUUGGUGCAUCAUGGUAUACCUAGUUAGCAAGGUGUUUGUUGGAAGUGCUAGCCCUAUGCGAAGGCCAACGCACAUGGAUCAGAGGGAUGGUAAUUCGUGAGUAUUGUACUUAUGCUUGUUUUCAUGGACUUCAUGCCUGUGCUUGAUUUGUGGCUCCUGCCGUGCUUGUUUCGUGGCUUUUAGCUAUGCUUGAUUGGUUACUUGCUUUCAUAGACUGUGUGUCCAUACUUGAUUGGUUAUUUAUCCCUGUGGACUGUGUGUCCACACUUGUUAUUUGUUCUGGUAAAGCCCUCCUAUAUUAGAUUUAAAACUUAUCAUUUUAUAUUUGUUUCUUUAAAGGAUUUUUUAAAUUGCACCAUUAUUUGAAAUCUUUUUAUAUAUAUAUAUAUAUAUAUUAAAUAGAAAAAUUUUGAUAAAUUUAUCUAGUUUAGAUGCUAUUGUUGAUUUCAUAGUUGUAUUAUUGAGCAAACUUGUCAUUUAUUGUUUGUUAAAGUAAGUUUCAUUAUUUUCUUGUUUUUGUUUAAACUAAAUUUAUCAGUUACUACCUGUCACAUUUUAUUUUUAAUUAAUUAUAAUUUAUAAUUUCAAUUGGAAUGCUGCUCACCGAAAAAUUCUUUGGCCUCAGAUGUUGUAGAUGACCCUAUCUAUUGAUCGUUGAGGGGCAGUGUCACUUUUUAGACAGUGGAAGUACGUUUUGGUUAUUUUGAUGUAAUUGUAAUCUAGUGCUCUACAUAUAUCAUAGUUAGAUCUUAGUUUUGUUUUGAUGAUUUAUAAUUUGUUAGUGUGGAGCUAAGCUCCUUCACUGUAUUUGGCUAAUAAGUUUUGUUAUGGUAAAAAAAAUUUUAGAAGGUCCAAAUUACGGGAGGAACUCUACCGAAAUUUCUAUAGAAUAUUUAAGAAUUUUUGGUUACCUUACAAUUAUAUAUAUAAAUUAGUUAUUGAUAUUUUA